rnacentral:rRNA from 1 species
AUUGAACGCUGGCGGCAUGCCUUACACAUGCAAGUCGAACGGUAACAGGUCUUCGGAUGCUGACGAGUGGCGAACGGGUGAGUAAUACAUCGGAACGUGCCCGAUCGUGGGGGAUAACGAAGGGAAAGCUUUGCUAAUACCGCAUAAGAUCUAAGGAUGAAAGCAGGGGACCGCAAGGCCUUGCGCGAACGGAGCGGCCGAUGGCAGAUUAGGUAGUUGGUGGGAUAAAAGCUUACCAAGCCGACGAUCUGUAGCUGGGCUGAGAGGACGACCAGCCACACUGGGACUGAGACACGGCCCAGACUCCUACGGGAGGCAGCAGUGGGGAAUUUUGGACAAUGGGCGAAAGCCUGAUCCAGCCAUGCCGCGUGCAGGAUGAAGGCCUUCGGGUUGUAAACUGCUUUUGUACGGAACGAAAAGACUCUUUCUAAUAAAGAGGGUCCAUGACGGUACCGUAAGAAUAAGCACCGGCUAACUACGUGCCAGCAGCCGCGGUAAUAC